GUAUUUUCAAACUGCGGCUGGCUUGACCGCAGUGCCAGCUUGCGGUAGGCCUAUAACUUCUUUUUUUUUUUUUUUUUUUUUUACCAUGGGACUACCCUCUGAUCCUUUUCACAAAUAGAGCAAUGAAAGUGAAACUGGACUUUCACUCUGCCAGAGACAGCGAGCAGGAACAGGUAACUAAACAACACUCAGAUAACCAGUACAAAAGACAGAGAAAGAAAGAAAAGCCAAAAAUGACGCUGGAAAAUGAAAGUAUUGAAGGAAAAUUCUUUAUAAUUGACACUGGAAAGACAAGUUCUGUUUCACGGAACCAGAUUUUACAUCGUCUCUGUCAACAAAGGCCUGGUUUGAAGGAGGUGCACACUGUAAGAGAGUGUGAUGUGAUUUUGGUCUUCUGCACCAUUUCUUCACGGGUCGGAACUGACAUUGAUGCUGCAUUGAAGAUCUUAAUAACUGUUCAGCAUCCAAACCAGCUAUUUUUAUGGUGCUUCAUCACACAUUUGAGCCAGAGAAGAUGAUACCAGACAGCAGCAGAUGUGUGACCAGGAUGAAUACACUCACUGUGGACUGUCUGUUCAAUGAAGAUCAGGGUUUGUUGAACUGCAUCAGGAAUGAUGAGGCGCUGAACAAAAUUGCUCAACCGUUUAAGCUUCAGAAACAAUGUAAAUGGAAUAUGAAGGUUACCGUUGCCGUUACCGUCACCAUCACCAUCACCAUCGUUAUCUUGAUUGCCACUGGUCUUUCUCUGGGGUACAGAUUGAAAGAUUAAGAUGAAGAAAGAGAUGCUUAAUAAGUUUAAGAGCUGAUAAGAUGGCAUGGAACACAAACAAAUGAAGAGAAAGAUCCAUUUAAUCAGUAACCGUGGAUUUUUGAAAUGACAGGAGCAAUUGCUACUCAUUAUCAUAAUGUAAUUAACAACAUUAAAGUAUAAUAAGCUCUAAAA